rnacentral:siRNA from 1 species
ACGUCUGCCUGGGUGUCACAA